rfam:Aedes albopictus isolate Foshan contig146415, whole genome shotgun sequence.
UAGCCUAGUGGUUAAUGCUAUGGAUCGCCAAUCCGGAGACUACGGGUUCGAUUCCCGU